rnacentral:rRNA from 1 species
ACUUGAAUAUUAAUAGAUACGAUCUUUAAAUUCAAAGAAUUUGGCGGUAUUUUAGUCUUGUUAGAGGAACCUGUUCUGUAAAUGAUACAACACGAAAAAUCUUACUUACUUUUGUUUAUCAGUUUGUAUACCGUCAUUAUCAGAUAACCUUUGUUGAGGUAGUUAUUGAAAUUUGAGAAGUAAAAUAUAUUAGAUCAAGGUGCAGCUUAUGGGUGAGAAGAAAUGGGUUACAAUAAAAUUUAUUUAUUACGGAUCAGCAAUAGAAUAGUUUUUGUGAAGGGGGAUUUAAUUGUAACACAUAAUUUAGCAAGUUAGUGCGAUAUAAGAACUAAAGUAUGUACACAU